ACGCCUGCCCGGUGCUGGAAGGUUAAGGGGAUCUGUUAGAGCAAUCGAAGCAGUGAACUUAAGCCCCAGUAAACGGCGGCCGUAACUAUACCGGUCCUAAGGUAGCGAAAUUCCUUGUCGGGUAAGUGCCGACCCGCACGAAAGGCGUAACGAUUUGGGCACUGUCUCAACAACAGACUCGGUGAAAUUGUAAUUCCGGUGAAGAUGCCGGA
rnacentral:rRNA from 1 species